GAGAAAGACAAGGUGGCUGUGGAGGAGAUGGAGAGACGUUGUGAAAUUGGGGAAGGAGGAAAGCCUUCGCUUGUGGCGGACCUUUUAGGUGACCCCAUAUGUAGAGUCCGCCACUUCCCAUCUCACAUCAUGCUGGUAAUUAAAUCAUCCUUAGUAACUGACCAUCACCAUUAUUUAUUAUGGCUUUGUUUUUAACCUUAUUGAUCAUUAAAAUUCAUUAGAGUGGACCGAUUGAUAGAUGUUGCAUGUUUUUCUUAUUAUGUUUGAAGGAAGACAUAUGGCAGUAUUAACUAUUAAUUACCUACUGAAAUGAUUACAUGAUUUUUGUUCUUAUUGUAUGGUGUGAACAGGUAGCAGAAUAUGGAGAAAAAGGAGAGAUUGUAGGAGUUAUAAGAGGUUGUGUAAAAACUGUGACAAGGGGGAAUUCAGUUUAUGUAAAGUUAGCUUAUAUUCUGGGAUUAAGGAUCUCUCCUUCAUACAGGUUUGCUUCAUUUCUUUUCUUAAUCUUCUUUCAUCCAUCUGCUGCUUCUCUGUUUCUAUCAGCAUAUAACUACUCAAACUCUACUGUUACUGCAAUUAGCGAACAAAAUUGUAAAGAUAAACGUGAUAUUCACAAGUUACAGUCUCUCCUCUUUUUCUUUAUUGUAAAGUUAUCAGUAUAACUAAUAUGGUCAAGUCAUGGAUUGAAAAAGAGAAAAAAAAAAAAAAAAACCUUAGUCACCUGACAAGAGACAGAGGAGAAACUGUUUUCCCUUUUGCUUUUCUACUCCAUUUGCUCCUGGAAUUCUGAAACUGUUUUUCCUGCUUUUCUACCCCUCAUUUGGCUCUUUUCCACGACCAAGCUCUCUCUAUCUUUUUCUAUCAGAAUUCUUGCAUUUUCAUGUGUGCUUUGUGUUGGAGGGGUUCUAAUUUCUAAUCUCCAUUCCCACUCCACAAAAAAGUUGGAAAAUGAUGAUCAGAUUCCACCAUAAAGAAAAAUGACGAUGUUCCUCGUAUCAUGGAAAGGAGGGAAAUGCCAGCUAACCUUGCACUGACACUUGUAUUGAAUCCACUAGAUUAAUUGCUUUAUUAAUUCACAGCCACCAAAAAAAAAAAGGUCGUGGACAUGCUAUCUCAUUCUAUUCUUUGUUCGUACUUGCUUUUCCCUUCUAUUGCCUCCUCCCUUUGCAAUGGUCCACUCAAAUUUCUACUGUAUCCUUUUGAUACAUGCCUCCCUUAUGUCAUUCUGCUGUUAUAAAAAUC
rnacentral:lncRNA from 1 species